rnacentral:lncRNA from 1 species
GUUCCCUGUUACACACACUCUUUGGCUUAAAUUCUCUCACACUGAAAUGAGUUUGUAUGACCUUUAAAAAUAUUUAAAAUCAAAACGGACCCUGGUUUUUAUAGUUACGACGUGACUGAUAUUAAAGCAAUAUUUCACCUAAAAAUAGACUUCUCGGGUAUUUAGCAGGGUCAGAUACAGUCAUUGUAAAAAGGGGUAGGGCUUUCCAACCCGGGAUAAAGCGGGUGUUCUCAAUAUAUGUCCAUAUCCAAAGUCAUUACUCGGCAAAUUUGGAAGGUUUCAACUCCAGGACACUAAUUUUUAUAUCUUUAUUUUUGCUGUCAAUUGUUCCACAUCAGUUUCUACGUCAGUUCCCCAUUAUUCUCAUUUCAAUUAAGUAAACCCCAUCUAGAUCUCCUUACAUGUUUGUGAAUGUACAAGUGAUACACGCAAACUGUAUAUUUAAGCAUGUUUAAAACAAUACUUGAGUAAAACAAAAUCAGUUUUAAAUAGGUUAUUGAUCUGAAAAUUAGAAAUUACUCAGAUAUAAGUUAUUCAUUCUGGACCCAUGUUAAUCUUUUUUGUCUGAAU